AUAUGAUUUUGUGUCCUGAUGGAUCUAGCAUGAGGACAAGUCAAGGUAUUGGAGGUGAAAGUGUCUCCAGAAAUGUCUUUGUGAUUGUAGUGUACUGAAGCUCCCAAAAUAAGACAGUCCUGAUCUGUGUAGGUUGCUUGCCCCUAGAAACUACAACAGCUACAAGAAGCACAAUAACACUAUUUGAUAGAGCAAAUUUUCAGCUACAAAACACUCUUUUUCAACGUAUUCACAACCAUUAGUUGUACAUUCUCACCACCAAUGUGAAUAAGAGUUUGUAUUCCAUGCCUGUAAAAAUCAGCAUGGCUGUCUGGAAUGUGGCUUGUCUUUCAC
rnacentral:lncRNA from 1 species